GAUGAACGCUGACAGAAUGCUUAACACAUGCAAGUCGAUUCGAUUUACCUUCGGGUAUUGAGGAUGGCGGACGGGUGAGUAACGCGUAAGGAACUUGCCUCUUGGUCUGGGACAACUGUUGGAAACGACAGCUAAUACCGGAUAUUAUGAGAUUCUCGCAUGGGAAACUUAUGAAAGCUAUAUGCGCCAAGAGAGAGCCUUGCGUUCCAUUAGCUAGUUGGUGGGGUAACGGCCCACCAAGGCGACGAUGGAUAGCCGGCCUGAGAGGGUGAACGGCCACAAGGGGACUGAGACACGGCCCUUACUCCUACGGGAGGCAGCAGUGGGGAAUAUUGGACAAUGGGCCACAAGCCUGAUCCAGCAAUUCUGUGUGCACGAUGAAGGUCUUCGGAUUGUAAAGUGCUUUCAGUUGGGAAGAAGAAAGUGACGGUACCAACAGAAGAAGCGACGGCUAAAUACGUGCCAGCAGCCGCGGUAAUACGUAUGUCGCANGCGUUAUCCGGAUUUAUUGGGCGUAAAGCGCGUCUAGGCGGAAAAAUAAGUCUGAUGUUAAAAUGCGGGGCUCAACUCCGUAUUGCGUUGGAAACUGUUUUUCUAGAGUACUGGAGAGGUGGGCGGAACUACAAGUGUAGAGNUGAAAUUCGUAGAUAUUUGUAGGA
rnacentral:rRNA from 1 species